rnacentral:rRNA from 1 species
ACAAUGCAAGUCGAGCGAUGAACCACUUCGGUGGGGACUGAUGGCGAAGGGGGGAGGRMCACGUGSRCRWGCUGCCCUGGMCUCUGGGACUGGCCCUGGAAACGGGGUCUAAUACCGGAUACUGACCCGCUUGGGCAUCCAAUGGGUUCGAAAGCUCCGGCGGUGCAGGAUGACCCCUCGGCCUAUCACCUUGUUGGUGAGGUAAUGGCUCACCAAGGCGACGACGGGUAGGCGGCCUGACAGGGCGACCGGSCACACUGGGACUGACACACUGCCCAUACUCCUACGGGAGGAAUCAGAGGGGAAUAUUGCACAAUGGGCGAAAGCCUGAUGCCGCGACGCCGCGUGAGGGAUGACGGCCUUCGGGUUGUAAACCUCUUUCAGCAGGGAAGAAGCGAAAGUGACGGUACCUGCCGAAGAAGCGCCGGCUAACUACGUGCCAGCAGCCGCGGUAAUACGUAGGGCGCGAGCGUUGUCCGGAAUUAUUGGGCGUAAAGAGCUCGUAGGCGGCUUGUCACGUAUUGUUGUGAAAGCCCGGGGCUUAACCCCGGGUCUGCAGAUGAUACGGGCAGGCUAGAGUUCGGUAGGGGAGAUCGGAAUUCCUGGUGUAGCGGUGAAAUGCGCAGAUAUCAGGAGGAACACCGGUGGCGAAGGUGGAUCUCUGGGCCGAUACUGACGCUGAGGAGCGAAAGCGUGGUGAGCGAACAGGAUUACAUACCCUGGUAAUCCACGCCGUAAAACGUGGAUUACUAUAGUGUGGGCGACAUUCCACGUCACCCGUGCCGCWRMUAACKAAUUAAGUGCCCCSCCUGGGGASUACRGCCGMMACGUUAAAMCUCMMACGARUUGACGKRSGGCCCGCACA